rnacentral:rRNA from 1 species
GAUGAACGCUGGCGGCGUGCCUAAUACAUGCGAGUCGAGCGAACAGACGAGGAGCUUGCUCCUCUGACGUUAGCGGCGGACGGGUGAGUAACACGUGGAUAACCUACCUAUAAGACUGGGAUAACUUCGGGAAACCGGAGCUAAUACCGGAUAAUAUAUUGAACCGCAUGGUUCAAUAGUGAAAGACGGUUUUGCUGUCACUUAUAGAUGGAUCCGCGCCGCAUUAGCUAGUUGGUAAGGUAACGGCUUACCAAGGCAACGAUGCGUAGCCGACCUGAGAGGGUGAUCGGCCACACUGGAACUGAGACACGGUCCAGACUCCUACGGGAGGCAGCAGUAGGGAAUCUUCCGCAAUGGGCGAAAGCUUGACGGAGCAACGCCGCGUGAGUGAUGAAGGUCUUCGGAUCGUAAAACUCUGUUAUUAGGGAAGAACAAAUGUGUAAGUAACUAUGCACGUCUUGACGGUACCUAAUCAGAAAGCCACGGCUAACUACGUG